rnacentral:rRNA from 1 species
AUGUGGCCCAGACAAAGGGUUCUACGCUUUCCAAUUCAUCUCACAUGCACAAGUGGCUGCAGUGCCAUCAAAUUCGUCACAUGGGGUGAUUGGCGGUGCAACAACGCCUCUCUCCGGGCACAGCGGCCAGUGCACUCCAAACAAGAUGCUCUUGUCUUGGAAGCCAUGGAGAAGGAUGGUGUCGUUCUGGCACUCACAAACGCAUGCAAGUUCUUCGUCGUACGCCUCCAGACUGUAGUUCUCGGCCAGGCGGACAGCAGUGGCAAGCUCCCGGGGCUGAGGCAGCAUCGGGACAAAGCGCGGGCGGAGCAGGACCGGUAA